AAUCUAUGGUGAGGACACCUUUGCAAUAGGUCCUUGUAUCUCUCCCAUGCAUUGUAAAGAGUUUCUAAGUCCAUCUACACAAAUGAAGAGAUAUCAUUAUGUAAUU
rfam:Gossypium arboreum cultivar AKA8401 contig_32618_3, whole genome shotgun sequence.